UACGGAUGGGGCUAGCGUUGUUCGGAAUUACUGGGCGUAAAGCGCACGUAUGCGGCUUUGCAAGUUAGAGGUGAAAGCCCGGGGCUCAACUCCGGAAUUGCCUUUAAAACUGCAUCGCUAGAAUUGUGGAGAGGUAAGUGGAAUUCCGAGUGUAGAGGUGAAAUUCGUAGAUAUUCGGAAGAACACCAGUGGCGAAGGCGACUUACUGGACACAUAUUGACGCUGAGGUGCGAAAGCGUGGGGAGCAAAAAGG
rnacentral:rRNA from 1 species